UGAAGAUUGCUGAGAGGUAGAAGACAAUAUCUAUUUAAUGGUGCCAUUUUCCCCUGGUUUCUCACACUUGAAAAAGCAGCAGCUCUUAGAUAUUUUAAAAGGAAUAUAAGGAGUUUUGGGGUUGUUUCUUUGUUGUCAUGUUUUUGGAAGUUCUUAGUUACGGUCUCAUCGUGACCAUCUCAGAAUGAUAGCCUCAGACCCACAGUCUACAUGACUUCUGGCUCUCCCACACGUAAUUAAGUGUUCAUGUUCUAAUUCCAAAUCCCCAAGAAAG
rnacentral:lncRNA from 1 species